UUUCCGUAGGUGAACCUGCGGAAGGAUCAUUAUUGUAUAACCGAGGUGCGAGGGCUGUCGCUGACCCGAAAGGUCGUGCACGCCCGAGUGCCCUCACACACAUCCAUCUCACCCCUAUGUGCACCACCGCGUGAGCCCCCCUUUGGCUUGGUCGGAGGGGGGCUUACGUUUUCAAACAAACUUUGUAUGCAGUGUAGAAUGUAUUUUUUGUUUUUGCGAUCACGCAAUCAAUACAACUUUCAACAACGGAUCUCUUGGCUCUC
rnacentral:misc_RNA from 1 species